UGUUAUCCCCCUCUCACGCGCUCUCUCCCUCUUCAAACCCUCAUUCUAAAUCUGAGAAACCCUUCUUCUCACUCUCACACUUUCAAAUCUGAGAAACACAAAUGUAUGAAUCUCGCUCGCUCUGUCUAAACCCUUCAGAGAUUACGAUUCAACCUUAAAGUGAAUCUCGCUCGCUCGCUCUCUCUAAACCCUUAAAGUGAUUUCGAUUUCGAAGUUCGGUUCGUAGAGCAAAAUCGAUUUCGUAGUGCAGAAUCGAUUUCAAUUUCGAUUUGGAAGAUACAAUUCGACCUUCUUCAGCUAGGUGAUUUCGAUUUCGAAGCUCUCUCUCUCGAUUUUGAAGCUCCACCACCACCACCACCACCAUCACCAUCUGCAUCAUCUACUAAGGGUUUACAAUCUUGAACCUCCUCUUAGGGUUUGGAUCAACUCUCCUCUUGCUUGACUUGCCCCAUGCGUUUUCAGUCAUUUUGCAGAGUACUUCAGCUGAUACUUCAACCCGGCAGCAGCAAUCUGCAGGUUGUUUUCCUACCUUCGGCAAAUUGUUACUAUUAGGCCAAACCACCUUAAUUUUGCUUCCAUAGUCUCUACAAUAUUCCAUAAUUUCAUCUGGAGGAUAUUGUAAUGUGGGUGGAUCGGAUCAGGUCGGGCUGACCCAUUUGUACAAAAUCUCAGCUCAAGAUAUAUAUACGACCAUUCCAAUAACCAGAGCAACACCAGAAACCCUUCUAUCAAAGAACCAAAACCCCAUUUGUUCUAUUCUCUUUCUCUCUCUCUGUUUCUGCACUGUUGUAGAAGAAGAUGGUGCACUAUCAGAGAUAUCAUCAUCCCUGUAUCUAGGGAAUAGAUGUUGUUGAUGAAAAUAAGGAUGAAUCACAGACUACCCUUGCUUUAGUCUGUGGAAACUCUGCUACUAACAAGAGAACCAGUCCCAAACUUCUCUCUCCUCUCCUGCUGCUUGAUUUUUGCUCGUUCAGACUUGUCUCUAUUAUAUUCAUUUGGACACGAAGAUGCUAGCAUUGUUGCUGAGAUCGAUGUAAAUGCUCUCAUUUGUUCCUCAAUCCCAAAUGGGGGUGCAACCUUGUGCUUUCUAUCUACAAAAUGGAUACUGCAAGUUUGGGCGCACUUGCAAAUUUGAUCAUCCAAUGGGAACAGUAAGAUAUAGUCCAUCAGCUUCAUCUCUUACAGACAUAUCGGUUACUCCUUACAUGGUUGGGCCUUCUCUUGCUACUAUGGCUCCAUCGUUUUUAUUUCAGGGUCUAACCCCCAUUCAAGUAGAAUGCCUUUUUCUGGAAACACUUCAAGUAGUUCAGUUGGUUUGAUCUUUUUACAAACUGGUUCUGCAUCACUUUCUGAUGUCCAGCUGUCAAGUCAGAGUACUGCCCCUUUAAGCAUUAGUAUGAUAAGCACAAGACAAGGUGGUGAAGUUCGCCGUACAAGUAAGAGCAAAACCUAAAAACCUUUUUCAUUGCCAUCUAGGUCUGUCUUCACCGAACAUCUCUUCUAUUCUUGGAACUCAUAAAGCUUCGUAUAGUUUGUUUUGCAAAGUUUCAUAUCUUAUUGUCAUAUUGAUAUAUAGCCCACAAUGAAACUGAUCAUUUGUGCUCAAAUAGUUUUUUAUGGCAUCAAAAUCAACUCCAAUAAGAAGCAGAAAUGUCAAACAUCAUGUGAUCUGGAACUCGUUAACACGAAGAAAGCCAUUUCCAUCAGGUGUACAGGCACCAGACCGUGGCUAGAAGUGUCGGGGUAACUCCAGUUUUGUCAAGCCAAC